UUGUUGCAUUUGGUGUGUGCACGUCGUGACCUCGUCGUGUCCUAGUUGUCCUCUGUGCACGUGUGUUUUCCAGCUUUUGUCACCAUGGCGUCGGCGGCGUCUACAAGCAGUGUGAGAAAGAGGCAUGCCUUAUCGCUGGAGCCAAAGGAAUGCGUUAUAAGGGACAUAGAAAGUGGGCUGAAGAAGGCGUCGGUAGCGGCCAAAUACGGUGUUUCCAACACAACCGUGUCGACCAUAUACACGAACAAGGACAAAUUGCAGCAGCAACUGCAGCAAGAUUCGUCUUCCCUGUCACGGAAGAGAAUAGAUACGUCGAAGUACGAAGACAAGGACUCAGCGCUCUUCAGAUGGUUCCGCGAAGUUAGGGCUCGGAGCAUACCAGUGAGUGGCCCCAUGCUGCAACAAAAAGCCAAGUUCCUUGGUGCUCUUUUAGGCCACGAUGACUUCAACCCACUUAAUGGAUGGAUCCAGCGAUUCAAGGAUCACCAUGGCAUCAGCUGCAAAGUGGUGUGCAGUGAAAGCGGUGAUGUCGACGACGAGUCCAUCGAAGUCUGGCUUCGCGUAAAUUUGGAAACCAUGCUGU
rnacentral:lncRNA from 1 species